AUGGGGUGCAGCAGGCGCGAAACCUCCACAAUGCGCGAAAGCGUGAUGGGGUUAUCCCGAGUGCCGUCCGAUGAGGAUGGCUUUUCAUCGGUGUAAGGAUCCGAUGGAAUAAAGGGGGGGCAAGACUGGUGUCAGCCGCCGCGGUAAUACCAGCCCCCUGAGUGGUAAGGACGAUUAUUUGGCCUAAAGCGUCCGUAGCCGGCUUAUCAAGUCUUUUGUUAAAUCCAACGAUUCAAUCGUUGGGCCGCAAAAGAUACUGUUAUGCUAGAGGACGGGAGAGGUCGACGGUAGUCCAGGGGUAGGGGUGAAAUCCUAUAAUCCUUGGAGGACCACCAGUGGCGAAGGCGGUCGACUAGAACGUGCCUGACGGUGAGGGACGAAAGCUGGGGGAGCGAACCGGAUUAGAUACCCGGGUAGUCCCAGCUGUAAACGAUGCGGGCUAGGUGUUGGGGUAGCCACGAGCUGCCCCAGUGCCGCAGAGAAGUUAUUAAGCCCGCCGCCUGGGGAGUACGGCCGCAAGGCUGAAACUUAAAGGAAUUGGCGGGGGAGCAC
rnacentral:rRNA from 1 species